GACCCGGUCCAGAAUGACCACUUCACUGCUGUGACUGGAGCCGCAGAUCUUGCCCAGGCUGCUGAGGUUCAGGAGGCUUGACACGCUCAUGUUGUCGAGUCUUUCAGCCAAACAGUUGAGGCUGCAGACCGACUCCAGGCAAAGACUAACUCCUACCACACGCCCCUUAAGAAGAUUAAGGAAGGUAUAUUUUUAGGGUUUAUCUUCACAGUAAACAGAGGAUCUGAGCUCUAGGAAGUCUCUAUCAGGUAACCUUCUUCCCUCCUUUCCAGUGACUUUGACUUGACAACUAUGUCACCAGCUGAGAUGCAUUCAUCCAGUAAGCUGGUGAUCGGGACAGUAUUUUAAGAAGAUUAUACGCUGCCCCUGUAUUGUAUCAUCCAGCUAUGCAUGAAGUUACAAUCAUUUUAUUCAAAGCUUCAGAAAAGGUCACCUUAUCUGUACAAGUCAGAUAUUGUCUGUGUGGUCCUGGUUUGGAUUAUGAUUGGAUACAAGGACAGCUGGACAAAAAAUAAUUCAUCUUCAAAAAUCAAAGAACUUUAAAACUGCCAGACUGCAAAAAUUAAAAAGCCUGCUUUUCAGCCUACAGUCUUCUGAGAGCACCACAAUUAACCUGGCACCUCAUCAGGGACACAAGGUUGGCAUCCGACUACUACACAAGCACUAUUUGAGGAUUGCAGCAUUAGAUCAAUUUAGAAACUCUGUAAUCUGUGUUUCACUGAACUCCAAUGGCAAAAACUAUUGAAAGGUUUACAGUAAUGUAAUUCUAGGAACCGGACUUUCUGUCAUGCUAAAAACUGGAAUGUUUUCCAAAGAAAAACACACAUUGUCUCAUCAAAAUAGACAAGACGUUCUUUCAGCCCUCUGUGCAUGUUUUACCAGCAGAAAGUGAAAGUUAAGCUAGACUCACCAUCCUUACAUCUUUUUGCCUUUCUAUCAUUUUGAUAUUAUGUGGAAUAAAUCCUCAAAUCCUGGAGAAUUUUCAGAAAAUGCAGUUUUACACCAGUAUGCAUACGAAUCUACACUGUAAUAUGACAAAAAAAAUGCAAUGAAUAUUGAUGCAGUGAAUGAAUGAAUAGUGAAAAAGCAAUUAAUAUAUACAACAGAUCAUUUCACACUGACUGUUGGAUAAGUCACAAAUGUAAAAAACAUCAUUAUUUAGCAGACACAGAAGCAUGAGAGAAAGCCUAAAAGAAGUAACACUUCUUUGGUGUUCUACUAUUUAUCUGUAGCUAUUUUAAUGAAGGCUACAUUGUUGCGGUUGCUGACAGGAUGAUGGAUGUGAUAUGAAGUACUGUUAUCUUGACAACCUCCCCAAAACACCCACACUGGCUUAUGAAAGAAGUGUCCGAUGUGUACGUAACUAGUUAUUAUGAAUUCACACAAAGGAACAGUGGGCAAUGUGCGGAGCUCCAGUAAAGGCCAGUAACACAAACACAAUGGUGGAGGGUAUACAACCCUGUGCUCACUGCAGAUACUGUGGUUUAUACACUGAACACACAGUAAGAAGUGUAAUGCGCUCCCCCUAGUGGCGGUAGAGGAAGUAUAGAGUUGAUAAACUGGUCAGAUUAUCAGAUUGAAUUCUAAAUUUGCAUUUCAAGUAAAAUUUGACAUGUUAAAAUUACAAUAACUACACUUUUUUGUGAAGAACGUUUCUUCUGCAGUAAAUUUCUUCACUGGUUUGUUACAAUGUGAUUGCUAAUUGGGAAAACAUAAGAUGUGCCUGUACUGACACUGAAUUGUGGUUAUGGUCACCUUUUCAAAGCAAAUUCAGUAUUUCCUUUCCUUAAGCCUCUAAUAGAGUUUUUUUUAUAUACACACAUACAUUUAUUUUUUUUUUUUUGAAAAUAUCUGCUUGUUGUGGUCUAAAAUAUAUUUGAGAGCGUGAAUCAAAAUGAUAAAGUUGCAAGACAGGCAGCUAAACAAUAAACUGAAAGUCACUGUAAAGGUCAAAUGUAUUUCAGACCAUGCACUUUUACACACAAAAAAAAAAUUAUACAUUUCAAAAAGCGACAUCAUUCAUUCCCAGACUAUCAGUUAUGGCAGUAAAGUCAAUAGCUAGUGGCUAGUGAUAAUAAGAUUGAUAAAAUGUGUUUAAUGUCAUAAAAAAAAAACAUCAAAAAUUCAAAAGGUUUACAAGGAUCGUUUGAUUUUUUGCUCACAUUUUUGUUUUUCCCUUCUUACCCGUAUAAUUUUUUUUUAAAAAUCCUGUAAUACUUAAGCAUAUUGUCUAUUGAACAUUUAGUGUAACAUAUAUGUACAAUUUGGGUGCAAAUACUGCUUAACUGGAAUUUACUUUGACUCAUUAAGGUAAUCUGUCAGCCGUCCCUGUAACUAGCAAUGACACAGUAAGAAGAAACAAUGUGGUUUCAGUGAGGUCUGAACAGUCUAAAAACUGGUACACAUAGUCGCUUCAGAAAGUAUUCAGACUCCUUAGCUUUUUGCAUAUUUGAUUAUGUUUUACUUAUAUUUUAAAAAGACGUGUUCUUGCAAAUGUAUUCAAAUGCAUCAGAUGCACCCUGUUUGAGUCCACCUGUGGCAAACUAAGUGACUGGACAUAGUUUAAAAAGGCACACACAACGUAUAAGAUCCCAUAGCUCACACUAAACUAUGAAGUCCAAUAGCCUGCCCUCAUCUACCUCUAGCGGGACACAGAUAAGGGCAGGCUACUAAACCAUUUCUAAAACUUUCCUAAGAGGACUCUGUAACUGACCUGAAAGGGUGCUCGUUGAUCUAUCAGCCAAGACAGAACUGAAGUGGAUGCUCUUGAGUAGUCCAAUCAAAGCACAAAUUUGAAACCCUGCACAUCUGUGGAAAGAUGUGAAGAUGGCAGUUUAUAGAUGCUUCCUAUGCAAGUCAAACUUCAAUGAACUUAAGACUCUGAAUACUCGUGUUAAUGAGCAAUUUCACAUUUUGAUUUAUAGUAAAAAAAAAAUCUAAAAACACAUUUUCACGCUGGUAUUACUAACUGAGUGGAGAUUGAUGGGGGAAAAAAUGCCAAACAUUUGUGCAAAAAGUGACGGAGUCUGAACUUCCUAAAGCAACUGCAUAUAAAAUUUACUAAAAAGAGAAGGACUAAUAAUCACGGGCCUAGUGUUAGUAUUAAAAACUCAUGAGUUGAUAGAAGGAGAUCUGACAGCACCAUCCUCAUCAUCAUCCUCAUUUUGCUCUUCCUCUCCAGGGUUCAGCGGUUCUCGGUCUGAGUCUCUGGCUGCCUGUGCCGACCUCUUGGUUGUCUUGUUCAGGGUCCCGCCCUGCAGGAAAACAAAUAUUAACUGAGCAAAUUUUUUGCCGUGUACAAUGAGCUUACAAAAAAAAGAAUAUGUGAGAACUCAUGAGGCAGGACAUCUGACCUGUCUCCGAUCCACAAUAUUGAGCAGCACUGAGGUCACAAUGCAGCAGAUGGUGUUGGCCAACAUGAAGAUCAUCAUCCUCUGCCAACGCCACAACGGAAUCUUAGUUUCACUAAAGAAAGAAAUGGAGAAAAUGUGGCCAUAAGGACAAAGACAGCAAAGUAUUAGAGCACUGCAAUGUGACCUGAAUCUGAUGCAUUUCCUACCUUGAUUUGGUACCUAAUAUCUGUCCAACAACUAGAUUGGACACCCCAAUGCCAACCAUCUGGACGGAGGUGGCCAGACCCAUGGCUGUUCCCAGAGUCGCCUGAGGCACAACGAGGGGAAUAGACGGCCACAUGCUCGCCUGGAAUUGACAGGAAAAGAUAUGAAGAAAUAAAGCCAAACUCACAGCUGCAAAGGAAUAAGUGACUCCCAGCCAGAUGGUGGACACCAAAGGAGGGACAAAGGUGAAGGCCAGGAGUCCGAACACAGGCAGUGUGAAGACAGCACAGGCCAGUGCAAAGA